AAAGAUUAAUUAGCACCCGCCGUGAAAUGAAGUGGUGUGUGAAGAUGACAUGUUGCUUCUCUGAGACCUUAGGCAAGUGUUAUGUGUUAACUGUCAACUUGACAGAAUCCGGAACCACUUGGGAGCUUAACAUCCAGCGGAAGAGCAGUCAGGUGCUCUAACCCACUGAGCCAUCUCACCAGCCCUCUCCUCAUCUUUCUAUAAAACACAACAACCAUUCCCUGACUUUGGUUUCAGACUAUGUAAAAGAGAGAGAGAGACACAGAGAGAAAGAGAACCACCAAGUCCAUGCAUCCUUAUCUGCUUCCUGGGUGCAGAUGAUGCAAUAUAUGACCAAGUUCCCGUGACUUCCCCCACAACGAUUGCACAGUAGGAUUGUGACCUGGAAUAAACCCUUCCUUGCUAAAUAGCUUUCCUGGGGUGUUUUGUCACAGCAAUAGGAAAAGAAAAGUAAGACAGCAAGUUAGCAAACCUGGUUUGUUCUUCAUAACCCACCUUGUCUGGGGCACUGCAGAAAGGGAGGGAAUCCUGUCUACACAGCAUCCGACGGUUUCCAAGAAAGAAAGAGAAGU
rnacentral:lncRNA from 1 species